ensembl:snRNA U6 U6 spliceosomal RNA
GUGCUCACGUCAGCAGCACAUAUACUAAAAUUGGAGCCCUGUAGAGAUGAGCAUGGCUGCUAUGCAAGAAUGACAGUGAAAAUUUGUGAAGCAUUCCGUGUAUUU